rnacentral:rRNA from 1 species
GUUGUCAUUAUUAUCUAUUUACUGUGGACUGUAUUAGGAUUUGACAUUUGAGGGAUGUUCCAAUGUUAUAAGGAUAGACAUUGGAAAUGUUAACCGAGUCAUAAUCAGGUUUACGCCUGGUAUCCUAUUAUUAUUUACCAAAUGAAUUCAGAAUUAAUAUUGUAACAUAGACCUAUAAAAUCUAUAAAACAACUUUUAACAACGGAUCUCUUGGUUCUCGCAUCCAUGAAAAACGUAACAAAGUGCGAUAACUAGUGUGAAUUGCAUAUUCAGUGAAUCAUCGAGUCUUUGAACGCAACUUGCGCUCAUUGCUAUUCCAAUGAGCACGCCUGUUUCAGUAUCAAAACAAACCCUCUAUCCAACUUUUGUUGUAUAGGAUUAUUGGGGGCCUCUCGAUCUGUAUAGAUCUUGAAAUCCCUGAAAUUUACUAAGGCCUGAACUUGUUUAAAUGCCUGAACUUUCUUAUAAUAUAAAGGAAAGCUCUUGUAAUUGACUUUGAUGGGGCCUCCCGAAUAAAUCUUUUUUAAAUUUGAUCUGAAAUCAGGCGGGAUUACCCGCUGAACUUAAGCAUAUCAAUAAGCGGAGGAAGA